rnacentral:lncRNA from 1 species
CUGGGACUGCCAUGCUGAGGAAACACCAGGAGAGAGAAGCCCCGCCAUCACAGUGGAUGUGACUCACCUAAAUGCAGUCAGCUGAGUGGGCCCAGGCAAGACCUGAAGGGCCACCCUGUCCACCCAUGAAUUAUGAGCAUCAGCCAAUGGCUUUUGCUUUAAGCCUCUGGGUUUGGGGCUGAUGUUUUUAAAAGAUGGUGCCCACAUUAUGUACCAUCUGCAUGCUCAUCUUACGGUGGUACCAGUGCUCCUUCCAACUGGUGUGGCACCUACAUCCCUUUCCCUUGAACCCAAGUGGACUUUUUUGACAAUCUCAACUAACAGAGUUAGGCAGAAGUGAUGCUACAUGGCCUUCUAGGCUGUCAUAAAAAAUAUUUUCACUUCUGCCUGUUCUCUGGGGGUUUCUAUAAGAUACCAUGCCAUGAGAAAACCAAGCCACACGCAGAGGCCACAUACAGGUGUGCUGCAGGAGGUGGCCCAGCUGAGGUCCUAGCAGACAGCCAACAUCAGCUGGUGGUGGUAAAUGACUGCAGCCCACAGCCCGCAUGCUGCCAGGUUGGUGCCACAUGAGCCAAGAUGAACUGCCCUGCCACACCCUGUCCACCUUGAACAUUGUGAGCACAAUAAGUGGUGUUGUUUCAGUGAACUAAGUUUGCAAAGGUUCUUGUGUAGCAAGAAUAUAAUAAGGAUUAUAUCAGCCAGGGACGGAUCCAAAGGCCUGUAGAAAUCCUGCAAGUCACAGUACUAUGGCUUCCUUAAGCCUUUACACUUUCUCUUUAUUUCUGUCACCACUAUUUGCAUUUUCCAGAUCUAUGAAGAUGAUGAGUUCAUGGGAGUAAAUGAACAGUAAUGGAAAGCAACCUAACAUUCUCUGUAGCAUGUGCAAUUUGAAUCUGUUUCUCAGUAAAAUUAUCAAUCACUACAAAUCUUGAUCACUCAAGGGCACUUAGAAACAUCUUUAUUCCCAGAGGUACAGAAGGCUUUGCACUGUACAAAGCUACUUUUAUUUGAGCAUGACAGAUCAAUAUAGAAACUAUGUAGUUAAUUAACUGUGGAAAAAAUGUUUAGCAGGUACAUUACCCUCUAUUUUUUCCUCAAACCUGACUUUCAGUUGCAUAUAAUAGAACAAGGCACUACUUGGUAGGGCUCCUCUUGGUUACACUGUUGCGAUAUGUCUUAUCCCCCUUCAUAUGCAUGAGUUGUAUCUGCUUAAACAUAUUUCAUGGUAUUUUAUUGAUAUACACUUCACAUACUGUAAAAAAUCAACAUUUAAAAAUGUUCUAACAAUUGGUUUUUUGGCAUAUUCAUCAGGUUGUACUGACAUUACUACUAUCUAAUUGCAGAAUACUUACUCCAAAAAUAAACCCCUUACACAUUAGCAGGCACUCCCCAUCUCUCCCCAUGCCCAGUCCCUGGAAACCAUGAAUCUACUUCCUGUCUAUGAAUUUACCUACCCUGUUCAUUUCAUAUGACAAACUCAUGCAACGUGUGGCCUUUUGUGCCUGAAUUCUGUCAUUCAGCCUGAUGUUCUCACAGUUCAUGUACUGUAACAUCAUGAAAACCUCAGUCCUUUCUGUGGUCAAAUAGUAUUCCAUUGUAUAAGUAUACCUCAUCAUUCAAAAUAGCCACUUUUGGGGUAGGGAAAAAAAAAAAAGUAUUCAGGCAGUCCGCAUUUACCACCAGGAGGAGGUGAAGAGCAUCAGACUCCUGCUCUUCUCAAAAAGCAGGCAGCACCAAACAUUUACCACCAGGGGGAGCAGAAGAGCAUCAGCGACUCCGGUUCCCCUCAAAUUCCUCACCAGCCCAGCAUUUCUUCUGAGAGUUGAUUUUGUAGCCUCUCCUCCGGUUUUAGUUGUUCAUUCUGGAAAACUGUUAGAAUAAUCAGAUGCUGGGGAUGGAAUCCAGGGCAUGAUGCGUGCUAGGCAAGCACCUUAAUACUAAGCUAUGCCCCUAGCCCAUGUAACUACUUUUAACCUAAAUACAAAACAGGAGAGGGAUUCUCCAAAGAAUAUUGCUAUUUGUGAACAGCAGAGCAUCAAGGGUGGCACACAUGUCAGAGUGGACUGGGGCAGAUUCAGAGACUGGGAAAGAGGGAGUUUUAAAGACCAAGUGAGCAGGAGCAUCACAUCAGACUCAGAAAAAAAAUAAACUUUGGCUAGAAUAAUGAAUAACAAGAGCAGCAUUAUUCACUAAAUUCAUUAUCACUCAUAUAUGCAUUAUUAUAACUGUUGGUCCAAGUGUGGACAGACAGUCGCAGUACUUUCUGUGUAAGGUUUCACUGGUCUUUUUGCAAGCUUAUGGUUCUGGUAGAGUUUUUUGUGCUACCAUCAGGCACUCAGCUAUGGGAACCUUUCCUUCCUGACCUCUGGCUUUGUUUAUUUUUACUUGGUUUACUUUUGUUUUGUUGGGGUUGACACAGGGACCCCAUCUUGAUUCCGAAGCCUUCGUGUUCCUUUCACAUAGCCCUUCGUGGCCUGAUUUCCUGGUAUGAAAACACCUUCUUUAUGUACUUGAUCUAGGGCUGCUCUGGUUUGAGCAUGUUCACCCCUGAUUCCUUAAGUGGUUUGUAGCUUUCCUACUUCUUGGAGAAUUUAAGAAAGGCAAACAAACCAUUCCUCUUCCACUCUUCUCUUGUCAAAAACAGAGAAGUGGCAGUGGUGCUGUCCCUUGAGCUUUUGUGACACCAGUUUUUCUUGUCACUUGGGUGUGCACACUGUCAUGGCUUUAUUGCUGACAAUGUCACUAGACUGAGGAAUUCAAGCCUCAUAGACUUUAUCUACUCCCUACUGCUACCAAAAGCUCAGUCCUUGUCCCUGAUGCUAAUCCAAUAACUAGGAUGUGUUUUUUAGGAAAGAGAAUUUUUAUUGCUUUGCUCACAAAGAAGAAACCGAGAGGACACCGGUUCUGAUAUCCUAUCCUUGCACACCAAGGGCAAGGCCCUUACCAUCCUCAACUUAGUUUCUGACUCUUUACCAUGUAACUGCAUAAAUGCCUACACACAGAAUCUCUUCCUUCUGCUUUACCUCUGACAGACCAACUCUAGCUGCAAGAUUGUAAAAUAAUCCAGAAAAAUCACUUGUAAUGGUCAAUUUGAAUAGUCAACUUGAUUGAAUUAAGAGAUUCCAAGGAUUGAGAAGUUUAUAGGUGUGUCAGUGAGGGUGUCUAGGAAUGAUUGGCAUGUGGGAUAGACAGCUGAAAUGGAGACCCUCCCUAAGUGUGGGCAGCACUGUCCAAAAGGAUGUUGGUUUGGAUGGAACAGAAGUUGGAAGAACAAGGAAGAAGCAGGAGAUGCAAAGCUCAAUUCUUCUUGAAUCAGCGCUUGAUUGCUCUGCAAUUUUCUGAGGAUAUCAGCUUCACUUCUUCACUCUGGAAAGUGGACUCUGCCAGUGAUUCUCUAGAAGCCUUUGGUCUCCGAUUAGUGUAGCACUGUUGGUCCCUCUUGUUCUGGGGCUUCAGCCUCCUAGACUGCACAGCUACGGGUUCUUCCAGCUCUCCGGCCUGCAGACGGCCACUGUGGACUAUCCAGCUUCUGGUUGCAUAAGCCAACCUGAUAAAUCCCCUUUUUAUAAUUAUACUUCCUGUUGAUUCUGUUCCUCUAGGGAACCCUGACUAGUACACCAUUCAAAGGCCAGAUUGUUUUUCAGUACUUCUUUCUCUUAGACAGGUUUAUACCAAUAGGUGGCCCAUUCAUCCAAGAUAUAUCUUCCCAAGGGACUAUCAGUAAGUUCAAUAUAUCAUGGCCCAUGUCUUAAAGGGCCAGUUACAGAUGAGACAGGGGUGGGGGGAUAAAUAGAGAAAGAAGAAAGAAAGAAAAGAAAGAAAGCAGGAAACACACGGAUAACCAGAGAGGACCCCCCAAUCCAUGGCUGACAGAUGGGAACCUACAAAAUAGAGAGACCUGCUCAUAUAGAAUUUCAUCCACCUACUUUAUCUCUGACAGAUCAACUCCAACUGCAAGAUUGCAUAAUAAUUCAGAAAGCCAUUCAAAGGUCAGAUCAUUAAAGUAGAACAUCAUCUUUUUCUAAGGCUUAUACCUAUUGGUGGCCCUUCUUCCACUUACUUUACCUCUGGCAGACCAACUCCUAAUUCAAGAUUGUACCAAAAAAGAGGCCUCUCUCCGUCUAUCGAGAGAUGGCCUUUGUCAGCUCUGACAAAUAAAC